UACAGAGGUCUCAAGCGUUGUUCGGAAUCACUGGGCGUAAAGCGCACGUAGGCGGAUCUUUAAGUCAGGGGUGAAAUCCCGAGGCUCAACCUCGGAACUGCCUUUGAUACUGGGGAUCUCGAGUCCGGAAGAGGUGAGUGGAACUCCGAGUGUAGAGGUGAAAUUCGUAGAUAUUCGGAAGAACACCAGUGGCGAAGGCGGCUCACUGGUCCGGUACUGACGCUGAGGUGCGAAAGCGUGGGGAGCAAACAGG
rnacentral:rRNA from 1 species